CCUACGGGUGGCUACAGUCGAGAAUCAUUCACAAUGGGGGAAACCCUGAUGGUGCGACGCCGCGUGGGGGAAUGAAGGUCUUCGGAUUGUAAACCCCUGUCAUGUGGGAGCAAAUUAAAAAGAUAGUACCCCAAGAGGAAGAGACGGCUAACUCUGUGCCAGCAGCCGCGGUAAUACAGAGGUCUCAAGCGUUGUUCGGAAUCACUGGGCGUAAGGCGUGCGUAGGCUGUUUCGGAAGUCGGUUGUGAAAGGCGCGGGCUCAACCCGCGGACGGCACAUGAUACUGCGAGACUAGAGUAAUGGAGGGGGAACCGGAAUUCUCGGUGUAGCAGUGAAAUGCGUAGAUAUCGAGAGGAACACUCGUGGCGAAGGCGGGUUCCUGGACAUUAACUGACGCUGAGGCACGAAGGCCAGGGGAGCGAAAGGGAUUAGAUACCCUUGUAGUC
rnacentral:rRNA from 1 species